rnacentral:rRNA from 1 species
AUACGGAAGGUCCGGGCGUUAUCCGGAUUUAUUGGGUUUAAAGGGAGCGCAGGCGGAGAUGCAAGCGUGACGUCAAAUUUCGGGGCUCAACCCCGUCUCGCGUCGCGAACUGCGUCCCUUGGUUGCGGGAAGGGGAGGCGGAACUCGUGGGGUAGCGGUGAAAUGCAUAGAUAUCACGAAGAACCCCGAUCGCGAAGGCAGCCUUCCGGCCCGUCAACGACGCUCAUGCUCGAAGGUGCGGGUAUCAAACAGGAUUAGAUACCCUGGUAGUCCGCACAGUAAACGAUGGACACCCGCGGUUUGGCCUGUAUGGCUGAGCCGCCAAGCGAAAGCGUUAAGUGUCCCACCUGGGGAGUACGCCGGCAACGGUGAAACUCAAAGGAAUUGACGGGG